CUACGGGCGGCUCCAGUGAGGAAUAUUGCACAAUGGGCGCAAGCCUGAUGCAGCCAUGCCGCGUGUAUGAAGAAGGCCUUCGGGUUGUAAAGUACUUUCAGCGGGGAGGAAGGGAGUAAAGUUAAUACCUUUGCUCAUUGACGUUACCCGCAGAAGAAGCACCGGCUAACUCCGUGCCAGCAGCCGCGGUAAUACGGAGGGUGCAAGCGUUAAUCGGAAUUACUGGGCGUAAAGCGCACGCAGGCGGUUUGUUAAGUCAGAUGUGAAAUCCCCGGGCUCAACCUGGGAACUGCAUCUGAUACUGGCAAGCUUGAGUCUCGUAGAGGGGGGUAGAAUUCCAGGUGUAGCGGUGAAAUGCGUAGAGAUCUGGAGGAAUACCGGUGGCGAAGGCGGCCCCCUGGACGAAGACUGACGCUCAGGUGCGAAAGCGUGGGGAGCAAACAGGAUUGGAUACCCCUGUAGUC
rnacentral:rRNA from 1 species